GAUGAACGCUAGCGGCAGGCCUAACACAUGCAAGUCAGGGGUAACAUAGGAAAGCUUGCUUUUCUGAUGACGACCGGCGCACGGGUGCGUAACGCGUAUACAACCUACCUUUUAGCGGGGAAUAGCCCAGGGAAACUUGGAUUAAUGCCCCAUAGUAUAUAGACUUCUCCUGAAGUUUAUAUUUAAACAUUUAUGGCUAUUAGAUGGGUAUGCGUCCUAUUAGUUAGUUGGUAAGGUAACGGCUUACCAAGGCAGCGAUAGGUAGGGGUCCUGAGAGGGAGAUCCCCACACUGGUACUGAGACACGGACCAGACUCCUACGGGAGGCAGCAGUGAGGAAUAUUGGACAAUGGGCGAGAGCCUGAUCCAGCCAUGCCGCGUGCAGGAAGACUGCCCUAUGGGUUGUAAACUGCUUUUUACAGAGGAAGAACCACCCCCACGUGUGGGGGUUUGACGGUACUCUGCGAAUAAGGAUCGGCUAACUCCGUG
rnacentral:rRNA from 1 species